UGCAGAUGAUGUGAGAGAAUAUUUGCUAUCUGAAUGGCGGUGCGGACGUCCCCAACCACCAAGAUCGCUGAUGCA
ensembl:snoRNA SNORD24 Small nucleolar RNA SNORD24